UAUGAAAAAAAUUAAUAAAUUAAUUGUGUAUACCUUUUCAAUAAAAAAAACUAGUAAAUUUACUAUCUUAUAAAUAAAAUUAUACAAUUUAGCAAAAAAAAAUAUUUGAUAGCAAACCAUUCAUUACCCUCUCUGUUAUCCUUCAUUUCAUCCAUCCAAAACUCAAAUUUUGUUAAGUCUAAGCUCCCUCCAAUCUAAAUUUUUGUUUCCCUCUUCUGUAGGCGCCUAAUGUUAGCGGCCCACUCUCUCUCGUACACUUCUUCUACUCUCUAUGUUUCUCUUAUGGUGAUGGAAUGCCGCUAACUGCCAUUGCUAUGGAUAUGAUCGGCAAGAUUGAGCCGCGGUCAGCCCAUUUGUUAGGGGUAAGCCUCAUUUCUGUCCUGUUCUUCUUUAUUAUUAUGUAGAUUCAAAAUUUACUUUUUAAGGUUGAUUCUAAUCUUGAUUUUAGGGUUAUUAGAAUCAUAGUUUCUUGGUGAAUUUGUAAAUUUGGGUGACAUUGUUUUUGUUAGUUCUAAGGAAUUGGUUGUUGAACCCUAUGAAUGGUUUCAUUUUCUAAUUAAUUGGAUGCUAAAUUCUGGAUUUACAAGUCAGGUAACAACUUUCUAGUUUUAAUUGUAAAUUUUUUUAAUUUAACACAGGCUGUGAUGCCUUCCUUUUGUAAAUUCUUGAUUUAUGUUGUGCUUCUACGCUGUUUGCAACAUUGUACUCAGAUUUUGGUGUAUACAACUUUAGUUGUAUAUUAUGAAUAAUUUGUAUACAGGACUCGGGCAGUUUGCUGGAGGUUUUGAACCGAAAACAAUAUUUAAAACACAAUGCCGGCCAGAUGUUGUCACUUUAUAUCUGCAUACAUCUUAUGUCCCUGUUCCGCAAGUGCUUAUCAGUUUGUGCAGGCUGGCUGAAAUCUAAGCCUAUCACUAUGAAAACGUUCUGUGAGAUCUUCAAUCUGCUGGUUGGAAGCUGAUGGAUUAAAAUAACAGAGAUGCAAUUGGUCAGCUACAACAGACUUUUCUGCAGGUUCAUGUUCCCCUUGUGAAAAAUAUGAUAUUCAUCCGAUAUCUCUUGUUAUUGGAUCAUAUCAAGAUGAUCGGGAUGACCUUUUCGAAGGAACUGAGUGUGUUUUGGUUGUAUUUAUCUAGAUUGUACUUUCAUACUUGGACGAUACUAGAACAUAUGUUUGUCCUUUUGGGUUUUUAGAUGAUAUAAACAAUUAUAUUGAGAUUUUUCUAUUUAUUCGAGUUGAUUAUUUGAUUUC